UCCCCCUUUGUUUCUGAAGUUUAUUAUUAUGUUCUCUCUCUCUCUCUCUCUCUCUCUCUCUCUCCACUUAUUGAAGGAUUUCCAAAGCAACAGCUUGGACAAUAACAAAAAUGCAUGGAAUGCUAGCUUGAGUAGCAAAAGAUUUAAUGUGUUCUUAGAAGGUCUAUUGAAGCUCAUUAGAAGACAAGCUGGAAAGACUUGUGAGGGCAGUGUUUGGGGUUUUAUAAGUAGUGUUUCCAAAUUCUGGGAGCCACAAGCUCUCAAGCUUCGUGUCUAGCAGGACUCUUAUGCACUUUAGCAAAGGAGUUAAUGAAUACAUAGUCCUAAUAAUGAGAUGGUGGGCAAAUUAUACCAUUUCAUUGGUUGGGCACAUGAAUACGUACUCUAUGUGAGCUAUUAAAUAACUUCUG